rnacentral:rRNA from 1 species
UGCAAGCCGAGCGGUAUUUCUUCUUCGGGAGAGAGAGAGCGGCGUACGGGUGCGGAACACGUGUGCAACCUGCCUUUAUCUAGAGGAUAGCCUUUCGAAAGGAAGAUUAAUACUCUAUGAUAUAUUAAUUGGCAUCAAUUGAUAUUGAAAACUCCGGUGGAUAGAGAUGGGCACGCGCAAGAUCAGCUAGUUGGUGAGGUAACGGCUCACCAAGGCAAUGAUCUUUAGGGGGCCUGAGAGGGUGAUCCCCCACACUGGUACUGAGACACGGACCAGACUCCUACGGGAGGCAGCAGUGAGGAAUAUUGGUCAAUGGGUGCAAGCCUGAACCAGCCAUCCCGCGUGAAGGAUUAAGGUCCUAUGGAUUGUAAACUUCUUUUGUAUAGGGAUAAACCUACCCUCGUGAGGGUAGCUGAAGGUACUAUACGAAUAAGCACCGGCUAACUCCGUGCCAGCAGCCGCGGUAAUACGGAGGGUGCAAGCGUUAUCCGGAUUUAUUGGGUUUAAAGGGUCCGUAGGCGGACUUAUAAGUCAGUGGUGAAAGCCUGUCGCUUAACGAUAGAACUGCCAUUGAUACUGU